UUCCUGUGGAUAGAAAAUUGACAAAAUAUCCAGAAAUUGAGGACAAAAAACCCAACGUUUUGAUGUCUGGGUAUAAUGGAAUAGCACCAACAAAGUUGGCAUCAUCGUUUGCGAACUAUAAUGACUUAUCAGUACAUAUGGAUACAUCUGAUUCCAUACCCAGGUUGCAUACGGACUCAAGUAGCUCAGAGCAUAUGCAUUCACCUGAUGUCACGUGUGAGAAGGAGGUCCAGAGUGAACCCAAAUGGAAUGAGUUAGACAUUAAUGGCUUCGAUUUUGGUUUCAAUUACGUGGAUGGGUUUCAAGAUGAUCCUUUUGCUUCCCAAAUUCAGUUA
rnacentral:misc_RNA from 1 species